AAGGUAUAAUAUCUUAUUAUUGGUAAUAGACCGACUAAGAACUGUGAUUAAUUAAAAAAAGAGUCUAAUAUACAUUUAUUUCAUUCAUAUAUAAAAUCAAUUAAAUGCAAAGGAAAAGAGAGGACAAAAAAUUGAAAGAGAAGAACCAAAAUAAAGAUGUGUAAAAGAUCCGUUAAUCUCUCUCUCGCUUGUGCUUACCAUUCUUUUCCUACUUGUUCAGCUUUGUAGUUUUCAGUCGUAAGCAGUGGCCUUAGCAAAGCGCAAGCAAAAAGUACUUUGUCUUUUGAAAAGUGCUAAAAAUAGAUUAAAUAACAUAUUAAAAGUAAUCGCAGGAUUGUGUUUUGAGUUUUGUUUAAUAUAAAGUGUUUUGCUGUAUCUGCGAUGUGAAUAAAAUGCUUUGAUACGAGGAGACGAAAAAAAAAAGACAGGAGAGGCAACACGAGGUUCCGUUAUGCGUUUUGGUAUUGCAGUUUGGCCGAUUCGCCAUUUUCAUUCUUGAAAAGUGGCGACGUCAAAUUACAAGCCAAUAUUGCUGUUGCUACGCGGAUUACUGAACAGCAAAGUCAAGAUCAGCGGGAUAAGUUGAAACUUACAUAUCAAGGCAUGUGUGUGCGUCCAAAUUUGCCAACUUAACAAUGACGUACACAUGCAUAUACACACAAAUAUAAUAUAAUACAUACACUGGAGAAAUAUACAUAAAUAUAAUUCUGAAUAAUAAGGAAAAUUAAGAAGCACAUGUAAGGAAAGCUGGCAAAGAAAAUGGACACGGAAAUGUGAAUGGGAAGUGAAAAAUUACGAAGCUGUUAAAUUAACCAAUUAGAAGAAAAGCCAGGAAAAAUAUGGAUAGUAAAUGCACUUCCCUUUCGACUUCAACACAUUAUUCCCAAUUUUCUUCUAUCGUGGAAAUCGUGGGUAUAAUAAAAUGAAAAUUUGCUGCUUCCGGCCGAGGACAAGGACGACGGGGUCCCAUCUCCUUUACAACAUAUAUCUGAAUCAGCCGCAUCCGUGACCAUGUCCGUGUGUUAUUUCUGCUGCUUCACCGAUGUCUCCGACGUCUCCAUCACCGACAAUGUCUCCAUCUCCGCCUACGUCUCCUUUCCUCAUCUCCAUCUGCUUUUCUUUUCAACAUAAUUUUUAAUGGGACGCAACGAAACGAAAAGAAAUUGAAUCUCCAAGACAGAAGCUGCAGCCGACUAUGUCUCAUUGGAAUUGAAAUGUUCGGAUUAUUGAAAGACCAUAAAAUCGAAGACUAGAGAAGCUGGAAUGCUGAGGAACAAACGAUAGGAUCAAAGCAUACAAAACCCAAUCUUCACGGCUGCACCCAGAAAUUACAGUGGUGGGGGUACCCCAAAACCGAAGAUCUGUGUGAAGUUAGAACUUGGGAUAGUUCAUGGGUUCUGAGGUCCACUCACUAACUGCAGUCCUGGAUGCCACUGCUCUUGCUGGUGUUCAGGAGUUGCAUUUUACUAGAGUGCAGUUCCAGGAUUGGACAUUUAUGAGUGGCACUGAUGGCAGUUUGGAUGCAUUCUUGACAAAUAGAAAACGUGUCCGCAUUUUAAAAGGGACAGGCUCCGACUUGCUCAGCUUCCAAUGCAGACCGCGCCUUUGUCAUAGACCUCAUUUUCUUUGCCAGCUCGGUAUCGCGUUGGGCCCCACUGAACUGUUGAGCGACGUCGGUUGGAAGGUGGAGUAAAGUAGUAUAAUGACUCCUUUGCUCCAUCGUCCAAUCGUCGUCCCUGUACAGUUCAGCGUUUGCCCAUCUCGAUCCCGAGCUGUCACAGAGAGAGAGGUCUGUCACAGUUGCCCCGUCUGCAUUGCAAGCUGUAAACAAGUAGGAGUCGGUGCCUUUCAAAAUGCGACACGUUUUUUGCUGGUAAUACUCCUUACUCCAUCAUCCAUUCUGGUCGGCUCCCCGUUCUUCUUUGAACUGGUGACGCAUACUACGUGGCACUACGGUUAUGACCCACUGCCGUUGGUAGAAUCCGAGACGCAACAUGGUUGCAAUGGCUACUAGUGCGAUCAGAAUCUUCUUUUUGGGAAAGUGAUCUAAGCUGCGAGACGGACAAGUUGGCUACAGACAAUGAGCUAUUGUUCUGUGGGCACUGCAGAAAGUUGGAUCCAUCGGCGGAACUGUCACUGAUGCUGGUUGAAUUGGAAGACAAUGGUGAUCUUUUACCAUGCCAAAAGUGCAUCAACUGAACGGAAACACCGCCGGUGCUGCUGGCUGCUAGCGGAAGUUGUGAGUCUGAAUCGGAGUAAGCACUUGCUUCCCUCGCUUUUCCUGCUCCACUCCACUCGGCUCUUGGAAUUUCAGUCACGUGCUGCAACUAAUCCCCAGCCCCACACGCGCCUGCCAUCUCUCUGAGCCAGAAGCAAGAACCGAGACCAGGAGUUUCCAAUGGCAACAGAUGAGAUGGGCACAAAGACCAAGACGAUGAUGAGGGGCAAGGAUGAUGGGAUGCUGGGAUGUCGGGAUGCUCGCUGGCAAAGCUUCACCGCUAAUGGCGUUAGGCGUAAUGCCAUGAAAAGGUUAUAAAAAGCCACGAGAGUGAUAUGUUUUGAAAUUGACUACCUACCUUUUAAGAGGCUGGGCAAAGGGACUAAGCACAAGCCAGUCAUUAUAUCUCACACAUAUGUAUAUAUCUCAGCUGAAGUGUGGAAUGAUAAACAUAUAAUUUUGAGUUAGAGCGCGGCGACACCUGACAGCCGUAGCAGCAGCAGCAAUGCCAGCGCAACACCAGCAAAACCACCCGCGUGCCACUUACCCCCGAUCUGGAUGCUCUGGACAAAGCCUUCACUCAUUGUGGCAUGUGUCAAAAUUAAUUUCGUAGGCAAUAUUUUGACGGGCUUUCAUGCUAAGCUGGAGAGGGUCAUUCCCAUUCCAUGCGACGACCUCGCAACAUCCUCCUCCCCGCCUCGCAGCUUCAAGGAAUAUGUUAGCAUCGUGUGAGAGUAAAAGUAAAUCUCCAAGACAGAACCUGCAGACGACCAUGCCUCAUUGGAAUUGAAAUGUUCGGAUUAUUGAAAGACCAUAAAAUCGAAGACUAGAGAAGCUGGAAUGCUGAGAAACAAACGAUAGGAUCAAAGCAUACGAAACCCAAUCUUCACGGCUGCACCCAGAAAUUACAGUGGUGGGGGUACCCCAAAACCGAAGAUCUGUGUGAAGUUAGAACUUGGGAUAGUUCAUGGGUUCUGAGGUCCACUCACUAACUGCAGUCCUGGAUGCCACUGCUCUUGCUGGUGUUCAGGAUUUGCAUUUUACUAAAGUGCAGAUCCAGGAUUGGACAUUUAUGAGUGGCACUGAUGGCAGUUUGGAUGCAUUCUUGACAAAUAGAAAACGUGUCCGCAUUUUAAAAGGGACAGGCUCCGA